CGAUGGUGUUAUGGUCAUUGAUGACCGUUCAUAGAACCCUGCAAUUGCAAUGCAUUGCAGCUUGUGUGGGGUUCAUAUAACGGUAACCAGAGACCCUUGACAUCAAAGA
rnacentral:pre_miRNA from 2 species